CUUAACCGCGGAAGUGCCCUUGAAACUGUUGCUCUUGAGUCCCGGAGAGGCUGCCGGAAUUCGUGGUGUAGCGGUGAAAUGCGUAGAUAUCACGAGGAACGCCAGAGGCGAAAGCGGGCAGCUGGACGGGUACUGACACUGAGGCACGAAAGCGUGGGGAGCAAACAGGAUUAGAUACCCUGGUAGUCCGCGCCGUAAACGAUGGAUGCUCGCCGUUGCCUCGUCAAGGGGCAGUGGCUAAGCUAACGCGUUAAGCAUCCCGCCUGGGGAGUACGAUCGCAAGGUUGAAACUCAAAGGAAUUGACGGGGGCCCGCACAAGCGGUGGAGCAUGUGGCUUAAUUCGAUGCAACGCGAAGAACCUUACCUAGGCUCGAACGCUAGGCGCCCGCCCCUGAAAGGGGGCUUUCCGCAAGGACGC
rnacentral:rRNA from 1 species